AUACGUAGGUGGCGAGCGUUAUCCGGAAUUACUGGGUGUAAAGGGUGUGUAGGCGGGAAGGCAAGUCGGAUGUGAAAAUUAUGGGCUCAACCCAUAAAGUGCGACCGAAACUGUUUUUCUUGAGGAUCGGCGAGGUAAUGAGAAUUCCCGGUGUAGCGGUGAAAUGGGCAGAGAUCGGGAGGAAUACCGGUGGCGAAGGCGAAUUACUGAACGAUAGCUGACGAUGAGACACGAAAGCGUGGGGAGCAAACAGGAUUAGAUACCCUGGUAGUCCACGCCCUAAACGAUGAAUGCUAGGUGUAGUGGAGUCAUCUUCUGUGCCGCAGCUAACGCAAUAAGCAUUCCACCUGGGGAGUACGGCCGCAAGGUUGAAGCUCGAAGGAAUUGACGGGG
rnacentral:rRNA from 1 species